CAUGUAAAGAGAGAGUCGGAGAAGAGUCAUUAUUUUGGUAAAACAAAAAAUUUGAGUAAAACAAUUUUCUCAUUUCCUUUCUCUCUAAUCCAAGCAAUCUCUCUCUCUCUAAUUUCCUCUCUUCUUCACUGCUUCUCACUUCAUUUUAAGCGCCGACACAAUCUUUAUUUCUCCUCUCAAGAUCCAAUCUUUUCUUCAAUCUUUACUUUACAGUCCAAACCCAAGUCAAAUCUUCCUCAAAGAUUUCUUCUUUAACUCAUUUCUCACUUACCCACUUGAAAAUUCUCUCAAGUUUCUAUCUAAUCAACUGAAAAAUGACAUGGGUAUCUCUUAAAAAUCUUGUUCUUGAUCUAGAAAUCACAAAUGGGGACUUGGGUAUUUGCCAAUUUUGAUUCUUGGUCAGUAGGUUUUGAGUUGGGAGUUUGAGAUGAUUUUUUUGUGAUAUAAGGCGAUAAAGAUUAGAAAUUUUGGGGUUCUGUUGAAGUGGGUGAGUAUUUUUUUUGUUAGUUAGUUGGUGCCAUGGCUACACAGAGCUGGAGAGACUCUUACAAGGGUAUGUCUUCCGAUAAUAUCAAGGGGUUGGUUAUGGCAUUAUCCUCUAGCAUUUUCAUUGGUGCUAGCUUCAUUGUUAAGAAGAAGGGUUUGAAAAAGGCCGGUGCUUCUGGUCUUAGGGCAGGAAGCGGAGGCUAUUCUUACUUAUACGAACCACUUUGGUGGGUGGGCAUGAUAACAAUGAUUGUUGGGGAAAUUGCUAAUUUUGCUGCUUAUGCUUUUGCACCUGCUAUAUUGGUUACUCCCCUCGGCGCUCUCAGUAUUAUUAUCAGCGCGGCUCUUGCUCAUAUUAUUUUGAAUGAGAAAUUACAUAUUUUUGGAAUUCUUGGUUGUGUUCUUUGUGUUGUGGGUUCUACAACAAUUGUCUUGCAUGCUCCUCAAGAACGCGAAAUUGAAUCUGUAAAAGAAGUUUGGGAUCUUGCUACUGAACCUGCUUUUCUUUUCUAUGCAGCCUUGGUCAUAACAGCUGUCUUUAUACUGAUAUUCCAAUAUAUCCCUGAAUAUGGCCAGACACAUAUAAUGGUUUACAUAGGCGUUUGUUCUCUUGUCGGUUCUUUAUCGGUCAUGAGUGUUAAAGCACUUGGAAUUGCAAUAAAGUUGACAUUAUCGGGAAUGAAUCAGCUCGUAUAUCCCCAAACUUGGGCGUUCGCUUUAGUUGUAAUUACUUGUGUGGUUACGCAAAUGAAUUAUUUGAACAAGGCACUUGAUACAUUUAACACCGCUGUCGUAUCUCCUAUAUACUAUGUUAUGUUCACGUCGCUAACAAUUGUGGCUAGUGUAAUUAUGUUCAAGUGUGCUUUUCUUCGCAGGAUUGGGAUAGGCAGAGUCCAACACAGAUUGUCACUGAAAUGUGCGGGUUUGUGACCAUCCUUUCAGGAACCUUUUUGCUUCACAAGACGAAGGAUAUGGUUGAUGGGCCAGCUUCUCUACCGGUGCGACUACCUAAGCACACAGAAGACGACGACUUUGGGUCCGAAGGCAUCCCUCUCAGGCGGCAAGAGACAUCGAGAUCACAGAACUGACAUUAUUGAGCUCCUUUAUGCCAAACAUGAUAUUUUGGGGAGGGACUAUCCAACAUCAACCUGUAUUUUAUGGAAGUUCAUCCAUUAUGUUCUUUACAGGAAGAAGUCGGAAUUUAGAGACGGGAAGCAGAUGAUCAUUAUCUUCCAUCUUAAUUUUUGGCGGCGUAAGGAGUUAGCUUUCACUUUUGCCUUGUAUCCACUCUUCCAAGUUCAUACAGAUAGAAAUGGCCAAUGUAAUUUUGAGCAUAUUGGUAAUAUAUAAUCCAUCUUUUUUCCAUUUCUUCCAGAAUUAGAUUUUAGCUUAGCUUGUGGAGCAUCUGUAAAAUUCUUGCCCUUCAGUUUUUAUCCUUGGCAGACAGAAUGGCGCAUUAAUGAAUUAUUUUAGAUCUGUUUGAUUUA